AUGGCGGACGGGUGCGGGAGACGGAGGGAUCCCGUGCGGGGGCUGGUUCCGACGACCACUGCUGCGUGGCCGCGGGAGGACAGCACGCGCCGUCGCGCCGGAGCCGCCCAGGAGCAACCAUGGAUGCUCCGCGUUCAAAGUGUACAAGGCCGAUUUGGAGUGGUUCCCUCGCAAGCUCCUGCUAUUCCCCACCUCUCGCGACGUUCUGCAUCUAGAUUGUUUUCUUCAGUGGCAGGAAGGUUUCCAAGGAGGUACAGAAAGCGAGGUUCAAACAAUUCAGUGCAGCAGCAGCAACACCUCCAAGACUGGGCGGUGCCCUAUGAUGUGAAGCCGGUGUAA
rnacentral:rRNA from 1 species